rnacentral:lncRNA from 1 species
GUUUGCUUUUGUUCUGCUCUGACAGAUAAUGAUGACAGAAUUGCACUCAAGCAGAUGGCUCGAUUCUGAAUAUAUCAAAGGAACAAUUUUCCUGAUAAAAAGACCUGAGAGGAAUUAAUCCCAUCUUAGGUCAUCAAGAAAAGAGCACUGGAUGGAUGGCCCAACCUCAUGACGAAGCGUUAAAAAUCAGCUGAGAAUUAGGCAGAGACAUCUAAUGCGGUAAUAGUUUUCACAAUAAGCAAAUUCUGGCAUUACAACAGGAAAUUCAGUUUUCCAAUGACAAAGAGCUGCAGACCAUUAAGAUAUGAGAGACAACUUCCGAAGAAGCUACUCCAAAGUUGGAUAACUUGACUGGAUUCCCCAGGCCAAAGGGGCAUUUCCAGUGAUCUUCAGUAGAAUGAUCCUAAUCAUGAUGAAGGAAUCGGCAUCGUUAACUUAUGUUGAUGAUGAUAUCAGGAUAGACUUGGUGCUAUUGAUGAAGGCAAUGAAAGAGAAGGCUGGAAGGGGCACCACUACCACAUCUGACUAGCAUACAAGAAUCUCAUCUGUAUUACUGCCAAGUUCCCAUAUGAGUUUCUCUUUCAGAGAAGUGCUAAUAUAUUAAAUUUUUACACUGGUUUCCCAUUAACUUCAUCAAUAAGAGAAAGCCAAUCUUUAACGAUGAUUUCAUUGCAUGACCUAGUCCUGUUUUUUCACCAAUGAUUGUCACUUAUUGGAGGCUCUGUAUAAUAAGACUAAGCUCAACAUGCUGUUUGACUGACAAGUUAUAUAGAAGAGGAGUUUGAUCCCUGACACUCAAAGGAACAAGAGCAUGGAAAGACUGCGGUUUGUAAUCACCAAAACUCGUGCUUAAGGCUCAGCUCUUUCACCACUCAUUGGCCUGGAGAGCCACUCCGGAGCUCGGUUUACUCACUUGUGAGAUCUGGAAAUUAUACCCAUCUUUCAGGCUGGUUGUGAUGAUUAAGUGAAACCACCACUGUAAUGUGUUCUGUUCUAUGCCUGGCACAUCAUGAUUCACUCUAAAUGUCACCCUCCUCCUUUUCUCUAGAGGGUUUACUUUCCAUGAAUUUAAGGAAGAAAAUAGAUGCAGAAAAAUGGAAAACAAAACACUGAAACAUCUUAAUUUUAAUUAUUAAAGCUAUAAAAUAAUUUAUAUAUAGAUAGAAAACAAGAAAAUCAAAACACGAGGAUUAUGCCAAUGUAUCAGAACAAUGAUUUUCAGAAAGACUGAAGUUCUUUGUAAAAGCAUUGAAAUUAUACCUUAUAUUUGAAAACCCAAUAAGAAAUCAGAUUAUUGCUUUAAAGUACAAGUUCAUAAUAUUCUUCAUAAGAAUUGAAUAAGUGUGUGUGUGUGUGUGUGUGCGUGUGUGUGUGUGUCCAUGCACGCAUGCGGUUUGGUUCAGAGAUUCAAGAUGGCAGUCAACUUCUGAGCCAAGUGUCAGGCCAUAUUUAAAUGGAACUACUGUCCAAUACUGUGUUGAACCAAACAGAUUUCAUGAUGGUUGCUCUAGUACAAACCUCUAAUUUAUUCCUUUUUUCUUCUUUUUUUUAAAUUAAUUUUAAGGACUGCUUCUUUGGUGUAUGGUUGAUGUCCUCUUGACAAACAGAAUGUGGGGAAUAUUGGCCUGAUAUUCUGCUCUGAUGUUAUUUUGGGAACACAAAUAGACACCACCCUCAACUUAGUGCCUAAUAACUCUCCAGUAGCAUAAGUAUUUUCCAAAGAGUGAUUAUGUAUGUACAUAUGUGUAUACCUAUAUACAAGCCACACUAAUAAAAAACCCAAUAUGCAUAUAAAGUAAUAAU